rnacentral:rRNA from 1 species
CCUACGGGAGGCUGCAGUGGGGAAUAUUGGACAAUGGGGGCAACCCUGAUCCAGCCAUGCCGCGUGUGUGAAGAAGGCCCUCGGGUUGUAAAGCACUUUCAGUGAGGAAGAACGCCUGGUGGUUAAUACCCAUCAGGAAAGACAUCACUCACAGAAGAAGCACCGGCUAACUCCGUGCCAGCAGCCGCGGUAAUACGGAGGGUGCGAGCGUUAAUCGGAAUUACUGGGCGUAAAGCGCGCGUAGGUGGCUUGAUAAGCCGGUUGUGAAAGCCCCGGGCUCAACCUGGGAACGGCAUCCGGAACUGUCAAGCUAGAGUGCAGGAGAGGAAGGUAGAAUUCCCGGUGUAGCGGUGAAAUGCGUAGAGAUCGGGAGGAAUACCAGUGGCGAAGGCGGCCUUCUGGACUGACACUGACACUGAGGUGCGAAAGCGUGGGUAGCAAACAGGAUUAGAUACCCUGGUAGUC